AUUUAUAAAAUUGAAUGAAAUGUGUAAAUGAGUUUAAAUAUAAUAAAUUGAGAAGAAAAAAUAAUUUUUAAUUAUUAAAAUAAUUAUUCUAUUAAAAAAUUAAAAUAAUAAAAGGCCUAAUCAAAAGUUGAGAUUAUAAAAAUAAUUUACGAAAAAAAAGUAUACAAAAAUUAAAAAAAUGUCCGUAUACAUGAUGGGGUUCCAAUUGGGCAAUUGUUGUUUCAAAGAGAUAAUUGCAUUGAAUUUAUUGUUUAGAUUCCAAGGUGUGUCUGAAGAAGGGCCAUUAAUCCACUGUACCGCAAGUAGGGAAUCUGGUUCAAAAUCUACGGUUGUUGUAAUACAAUGCUUUUCACCUCCUAUUACCAUUGGAUGAAAGAUCAUAAUAACAGUAACAACAAAACUAACCAUCGGAUCAAAGAUCAUAACAGUAACAACAAAAACUAACCAUCCACAAUGGAAAAUAUUGCAUCAUAAACAUAUCACUAUCCNNN
rnacentral:lncRNA from 1 species